AUUGCGCAAUGGGGGAAACCCUGGCGAAGCAACGCCGCGUGAGCGACGAAGGCCUUCGGGUAGGAAAGCUCUGACAAUAGGGACGAAGUCUAAUAAGUAAAUCGAUUAUUAGGUGACUGUACCAAUAAAAGGUGUUCCGGUUCACAACCUGGUAAAGCUCGCGGUAAAACGCAGGGGGCCAGCGUUGUCCGUAAAUACUUGGCGUAAAGGGCGUGUAGGCGGCUAAAUAAGUCAAGUGUGAAAACUGUGGGCUCAACCCAGAGAUUGCACCUGAAACUGUCUAGCUUGAGGGUAGGAGAGGAAAGUGGAAUUCCUAGUGUAGCGGUGAAAUGCGUAGAUAUUAGGAGGAACACCAGUGGCGAAGGCGACUUUCUGGCCUAACCCUGACGCUGAGGCGCGAAAGCGUGGGGAGCAAAC
rnacentral:rRNA from 1 species